CCCAGACGGCGGCGCUCUGAUAUGCCAAGCCGACGCCGUGGAGAAGCACCGUGGCCGUCUCCUGGCGGCAGCGUACCGUGAUAUUCACCUGCCCCGAGUACGUGCGGGGCUCGGGCAGGCCGGGCGCCAGGUGGGGCCACAGCAGCAGCGAGUAGUGCAAAGGCAGCAAGUUCGCCGGAAGGCGCCAGUCGUCCCACGGUCCGGGGGGCAGCGCUGACGGCCCGGCGCUGGUGUUGGCAGAGGGCGUCGGGGGGCUUGCUUCGGCGCCCUUCCGCAGCCGCUCGUCCUUCAGUUUCUGCGCGCAGCUCCCGUAGAGAAUCCCCAGCACCAGCAACGCCAAGAGCAGGGCGGCCGCCAGCAGCGCCAGCAGCACGACGGACUUUUUGCCCAAGUAAAAGCCUGAGCGCAACUUGGCGCGCAUUAUGGCGCCCGUCUCUUUCCCGUGCGCAAAACCAAAGACAAAACAAACAGCCGGGCGGAGAAGACUGAGCGACCGAGAAAGAAAUAAGCACAGGGGCCCGAGGUCGGGCGUGUGAGGCCUGGGGGUGAGGUGCACCCCAGAGGAGCGAGGGUCAAUGCCUCUUCGUUGCCUCACGGUGGGUGGAAAUGGGAGCGGCCGGACUAGAAGAGACCCACAAGCCAAACAAAUGGUUGGCUGAGGUGGUCUGAAUGGACCCCGCCUGGCCGCGCCUUCGGCAUCCAAGAUCCCAUCCUUCCACCCCGCCCCUUUCCCCCUCCUUCUUGGGAUCAUCAUCUCCACGCUUCAGCGCUGUGCGACAGCCGCCCCGGCCGCUGACAGGACUAAAUCUGCUCCUAUUUCCCUGGAAGGCUGAGGAGUACCUGGGGUUGCUUUGCAUCCUCCAAAGGUCCCUGUUGUAGCUCAGUAGCCGGAGGGGGGAAGGUGGCGUUUUACACGAGCCACCGGUAGCUGCCUUGUGAAAAGGUUCCCCUUUGCUCCUUUUUGGAAAGGAGGCGAGUCACUUCAGAAGGCACUCGCUAGUAGCUGAGAAACGGGACAGGGAAGGAAGGAAAGGAAACUCCCUUAACAUUUAAUUUAGAUGCUCCAGUCCUGUCAAGUGCACGCUUUCUCCCAAUAUAUGCAUUUUUGUAAACAUUGCUUGGUUGGAGAACAACAUCGCACAAUUCAGAGAUACAAACAGUGGAAAACUAUAACAAAUUAUAAAAGAAGACAAUGUUGUGAGCAUGCAUCAUGUCUCAAAAUAAACUAUUACCAACUUAAUCAAAAGGUGUGAGAGAAUAUAACAGCAAAAUAUAUAACAGCUAAAGAAAAAGCCACCAAGAGAAGACUGUACAUGUAAAUAGGAGUUAUCUAAAAAAAUUGAAUGAUAAGAGUUACAAGUAUUGCCAGAUGUCCCAAUAAUCUGGUAGAGGUCUCUUUGAAAAAGUUGUAUCAGCUGUGUAAGAAAUAAAAGGAUGCCAAAUCAAAUAGGAGUAUGGAGAUUCUUGUCCUUGUGAGAGUUUCAUGUGGUAUGUGAUCUCAUCCAUUAUAAUGAUCUGCCAGAUAGUUGUACCAUUUGUCCAACGCAAGUUCU